ensembl:lncRNA
CACAACCCUCUAGGCAAAAGAUAGUGUUGAGGAAAGGGACUGAAAAUGUUUGGGUUUGAGAGCUAUUAUUAUAUACCUCUCAUCUAAGAAUUAAUGACAUGCUAUUUAUAAUGAUUAACAGUCUGGUAUUUCUCUUUUUUUCAGAUCUCUUAUCACUGUCUGAAAUGCUCUUCUCUGGCAUUCCAAUUAGAGGAUAAGAUCUUUGGAGCACAGAACCCAAGUCUUGGGAAGCAGGGUAUGGUUUUCAGGACCUAAUUGAUUUUUCCUGUGCCUUAUCUGGGAAACCUGAGUGUCUUAACGUGGUGAUCUGAGAGAAUGGGCUGCUUUAUGUUCACACACAUGAAUUGCUCAACUUCCUGAAUGAAGCGGAAAAAGAUGGAAGAAUCAGUAUAUACAUCUUGUAGAGGAUGCCUGGUGGGGAGCAAUGGAGGACCCACCAUAGGAUUCUCUCCCCUGGGCUGAGAUGGAAGAUGGACCUAUGAACACUUCUCAGCCCAUUUAUCCCGUUACAUGAACCAUUAUCACAGACAGAGAGAUGGAAUUGAAUGAUAUUUUGAUGAUCUGCACUCGGCUAGUAUUUUCCCCCAAAGUUCAAGUUAUCUUUAAGUAUCUUCAUUCAAGUCAUUCACCCAGCAACAGUUUAUUUAUUGAGCAAUUACAGUGUUUCAGCAGCAACACAUUAGUGAUGGAGUGACAAGAGUCAGCAGGACCGGUGCUGCACAGGUGCUAUUUCAGGGAGAGUGAGGAGUCUUCAGAUAAGGGGGGUGAUGGAUGUCAUCUCUAUGUUGCUAAGUCCCCUUGAAGGACUUUGCUAUGCCAGUUGUGAUGCUGAACCGAGAAGGGUGCAUGAGGAGACAGAGCUUCAUGAAGGUCACUGUCUUAUCCAAGGUCACAGAACUCAUAAGUGGCACAACCCCAACUGAACCAGAGUUUGCCUUAGUCUACAGUAUCUUCCACCCAGAUUAUAAUCAAAAUACUUUGUAAAAUUGAAUGACUUCUUUUCCAAGCUCUGAGGCUCCCAGGAGGUACACAAUCCUGUAGCCAAGCACAUUCACCAAGACUCAUCCAUGUGAGUCAUAGAUUUUCUCUCUAGGAUCUGCG